UACGGAGGGGGCUAGCGUUGUUCGGAAUUACUGGGCGUAAAGCGCAUGUAGGCGGCUUUGCAAGUUAGAGGUGAAAGCCCGGGGCUCAACUCCGGAAUUGCCUUUAAAACUGCAUCGCUAGAAUUGUGGAGAGGUAAGUGGAAUUCCGAGUGUAGAGGUGAAAUUCGUAGAUAUUCGGAAGAACACCAGUGGCGAAGGCGACUUACUGGACACAUAUUGACGCUGAGGUGCGAAAGCGUGGGGAGCAAACAGGAU
rnacentral:rRNA from 1 species